rnacentral:lncRNA from 1 species
GCCCAGUCUCGCCCCGCCCUGCUCUCUCCUCCUCGUUCUCAAUGGAAGAGCUGCAUCAGCGGCGCAGAGGCAGUGUAGCAAGGGGGCCGCCAGGCACAGGGAGGGAAGGAAGCUGGGGAGGAGUUCUCAGGCCUCCUCCCACCUCUCCUAUCACCUCUUCUGCCAUCUCGUCCCUUCUGUAUUAUUCUUUUCUUCUUCCCCUCCUUUUCUACAGCUGAUGUUGUAUUAGCAGAGGCCCAGUCACACCAGCUGAAUGAAGAUUCUGUAUCAUGUCAUGGAGAGAAUCUAGAGUACUUGAAGACGGUGCUGGCAAGAAAAGAGCUAGGGUUUAUCAUGUUGUGAAAGGAGAUAGAUAUUACAUACACUGGGGAAAAAUUCAUGGAGGAAAUCAAGUGAAGAAUGACUCUUCUGGGAAUAUGGAGGUGGGACACAUGGCUCAGUUUGUGAUCAGGAACCAUCAGGGGUUCUCCAGAGUCACCAAGAUAAAGGUAAAAUUUCCCAGCUUGGCAGACAAAGUUCUCAGCAAUUUUGUCCCAAACAACCUUUUAAAAUUUAUCUCACACUUUCCCUGAAAAUGUAUCCCUUCCCUUCCCUUUUCUACUCUAGUGAAGCCAAUUUUCUUGAUGACCUCUGAAUACUACAAGUUAAUUUCUGCCUUUCACAGUUAUAGAAUCUCAGCAUUAGAAAGGACUUCAGGCCAUGGAAUAUAAUUUGUACCUGAGCAGGAAGUCAUUCUUUAGUAUACCUGAUAAGUGGUCUCACCUAGCCUUGGCUUGAAAGCAAUUAAUGAGGGGAAACCCCAUUACCUUGUUAGGCAAAUAAGUCUACUUUUGAAGAAAUAAAUGUGAGGAAAUUUCCCA